UGGUGUGGUGGCAGUUGAGAGGAAGAAUGAUUUGCAUAAAGCCCCAGAAGGGUGCCAAAACUCUUCACGCUUUAAACAACAGCCUUUAUUAUUCUGUGUGGCCCACCUGUCAGCAGUUGAGAGCUGUCAGCGGCAUUUAAAUUCUUUGGGAAGACUCGGCACUCAUUAACCUGAGCAGAGCUAAGGAGGUCUGUUUUAUGGAUGUGUGUGUGUUCCUCAGAGGUGAAUUUCUCUGCAUGCCUUUCAACACCUUCUGUCCACAGAGAAGCUAACCUAUUCAAGUCAAUGCAUGUCAUCUUUUAAGGAGCAUCCUCAUCAUUAGAGAAACUUGGCUUAUUCGGUCUGUGGUUAACACGUGAGUUGUGGACAGAGGGAGUUGGAAAUUGGAAGGUGAAGUCUUGCGCGUGCGUCCUUGCUCCCUACCGCAUAUUAGCUGAAUGUAUCCACAAGCCGAUCAUUUCAUCUUACUGAGGACAUUUCUUCAUUUGUAAAUGUGGGACCGUGCUAAUACUUAACUCCCAAGAGUGUUGUAAUAUUUUGAAAUGAUGGAAAAUGAGUUUUGCACAUCCUACAAAACAUGCUGCGAAUAUAGUGUCUUUCUACGGAGAAGCACUAUGCUAUUGUCUAGCUUUAUACAGUUCAGGAAUUCUUUUUUGUUUUUUCUAAACAUGGUAAAAAAAAUAAGUAAGUAAAUUCUCAACAGUAGUGUCCGCUGUUCCAGAUAACAUGAAUUGUGUUCAUGCUACAAUACUUAGGCGACACGCAUAGCCAUGAAUUGGGUAGUGUUUUGCCAACAACAGAGUAAAUGACAAC